rnacentral:miRNA from 1 species
AAGCUUGAUUUCAGAAAUGUCGA